AGAUGCGAUCGUACCAGCACUAAUGCACCGGAUCCUAUCAAAACUCCGCAGUUAAGCGUGCUUGGGCGAGAGUAGUACUAGAUUGGUGACCUCUCGAAAGUUCUCGUGUUGCAUCCC